AGUGAACGCUGGCGGUAGGCCUAACACAUGCCAGUCGAACGGCAGCACAGUAAGAGCUUGCUCUUACGGGUGGCGAGUGGCGGACGGGUGAGGAAUAUAUCGGAAUCUACUUUUUCGUGGGGGAUAACGUAGGGAAACUUACGCUAAUACCGCAUACGACCUACGGGUGAAAGCAGGGGAUCUUCGGACCUUGCGCGAUUGAAUGAGCCGAUGUCGGAUUAGCUAGUUGGCGGGGUAAAGGCCCACCAAGGCGACGAUCCGUAGCUGGUCUGAGAGGAUGAUCAGCCACACUGGAACUGAGACACGGUCCAGACUCCUACGGGAGGCAGCAGUGGGGAAUAUUGGACAAUGGGCGCAAGCCUGAUCCAGCCAUACCGCGUGGGUGAAGAAGGCCUUCGGGUUGUAAAGCCCUUUUGUUGGGAAAGAAAAGCAGCAGGUUAAUACCCCGCUGUUCUGACGGUACCCAAAGAAUAAGCACCGGCUAACUUCGUG
rnacentral:rRNA from 1 species